rnacentral:lncRNA from 1 species
AUGGGCACCUCUAAACCGAGCCCACAUAUUUCUACUGAGAUCAUCACCUGUGUCAAAAGACAAGGCACUGCAAUUAGCCCCGAGGCCUCCUGCUUGACUGAAAGCCCUCACCUGGAUGCGCCCAUUCUGCUCUCCCCCCUCCCCACCCUUGAGACUUCUGGUGUUUCAGCAGGAGCCCUGUUGCCCAGCUCAAGAUGGCCACACUGUGUGGCCACCAGAGUCUGGUCAGCUGGCAGUGCAGGCCUGCUGCCUGGUUUGGAGCCAGAAAGGGAUGUGACCCUGAUGUGUGGCACAGAUGCUGCUGCAGCUUGAGAAACUUCUUCCUGAAAAUGUCAUGAAAACUGAUGUGCCCCUAUGAAAAAUGUGGAUUUUGAUGAUUCAGCAUUUUCCCAUGGAAGAUAAAGCUCUUUUGUUCCUCUGACCAGCUCCCAGCAAACGGCUCAAGGGCAUGUGUUUCAUGCUUCCUCCCAGGAACCUGUUCCUGAAGCUGCUGAGAAACUUCCUAGGUUGUGGCCCACUCAGUAGGUGUCAUUGGAUCAGACAGUCUAAAAACUAGCAGAGUUCUUUGUUCUUACAGACCUGAAAACAUGAAAAAUAGUACUUAUGUUUUCUGUGGUAUCAGGUGUUCUCUGAUUGCAUGAGCUUCAGUGGGACCUGGGUGCUGCCUGAUUUUGGGAAGAGUUCUCAGUAGAAGUGGCUCUGCCCUGUCUCUGAGCUGAAGCUGUGGAAAGGAAGGAGCAAUGUAUCACAGGAGCCAAACUGGAGGCAUGAAAGGGACAGCAGGUUUCCACUUCUGAAGGAUACUUCUGAAAAUACUUGAGAUUUGGGUAUCUGAAACGGAAAAUACCUUUACUGAGAUGUGAGAGCUACAGGGACCUAACACCUUUGCAAGAGAUGCCUGUCUACACCAAGGACCAGGGAACUGAGACACAGAGGACAGUGUUUAAGGUAUGAAGCUGGAUUUCUGGUACAGGAGGAGCAGGCAGAACAGAAGGAGGUUGGUACUGGGACAGAUGUGUUAGCAGGCCACAGGUACUUCCAUGUUCCCAGAUGUCAUAUCCAACUUCAUGGUGACCUCUGGCCCAGAGUGAAAAUGAGGACUCAAAGGAUAUUUGAUCAUUUCCCUUUUCUGUAUGCAACUGUGAAGCCACCUUUCUUUUCAGGUGGAUCAAGAUUUUAUCCUUACUGCUAUUACCAUGCCUAACAUUCCUUUUGAGAAACCAUUGUAGUGAAAUUCUUUAAUGAGUCUGAAAUUCAGAGGUGGGUAGAGCAAAAUAAUAAUGCUAGCCAUAAUAAUAAAUAACAGCCCCAUUUUAAUUUGCA